AUGCGUGGAUUCGGUAACCUCUUAACGACCCGUACAGCCAUGUUUGCUGUUACUGGGUUCGUAGCAGGUGCUCUAAUGACUAAAGCGGUUAGAAGUGCUUAUGAACAUUUCUAUGGAGACUCAGAAAAAGAGGAUUUAUCCUCUGUAGAACAACCAGAGUCUGAUUUUAUUAGCCCUGGACUCAAAAAACCAACUUCUCUUUACUUAGACGUCGAACCAUCGGUUAUAGAUGAUGAAGGGAUGAAUUAUCUCUCUCUGAAAGCAAACAGAACUGAUGUUGAAUAUUCUUACGGAGAAACAGGAGACGGUUCAUCCACUUUGUGGAAACUGGAGUCUGAAUUUAUCGCUACUGGACCCGAAAUAGCAACUAGUCUACUCAGAGACGUGGAACCAUCGGUUUUCCACGAAGAGAAGGAUUCUGGUUCCCACACAAGCCUCUCUGUGGCCCACGAACCACGGACUGAAAAACCAUUUUCUGAUUUUACGUCAGAUCACAUAACUACGUCAGAUUUGGAUGUGUUUGUGGAUGUGCCUGCUGAAAAUGAUCUGUCGUUGUUUUAUACAGAAGACGAUCUCUCCUGGGAUAAACCAGAUACAGACGUCUUUUUCACUUUUAAGGAAGGUUUUGGAGAAAUUCAGUCAGAAGAAUUGUCUUCAGCAAAGGAUUUAUGUGAGGGUGACUGUUCUGCAACUACAGAGGAGCUUUUCGAUGAGAACGACGAAAAAUCGCUCUCUUUAGAUCAAAAGCUGGAAACGCCACCCAGUUUUACAGAAUUAGAGGCUUUUAUGGAAGGAGAAGCGAAAACAUCUCUGGUUUCAGCAGAAGUUUGCGAUUACGUGUCUGACGGCUCUGAAAUGCUUCAUGACGCAUGUGAGACCUGGUCUGAGCCAGAAAGCGACCUUGACUCAUUGCCUUACGAUGACAGCGACUUGCCUGAUAUGGACGAAGGAAUGGGUUGCAAACUCGGGUUAGAAACAGAUGUGAAAGAGGUAAAUUGUGAAAAUAGAGCUUCUCUUAGCGGUUCUAAUCCUGAUACUGAAUGGGGGGAGGACGUUGGUCUAUCUCGGACUAAGAUUAUUUGGGAGAAUCAGAAUGAUGAUCAGAAUAAUCUUUCCACAAUUAUAGAGGAGAACUUUGAGGAGAAUGAUGAAAAAUCACUUUCUUUAGAAGAAAAUGAGGAAACGUCUCCUACUGAUGAAGAAUUGGAGGACGUAGACGGUGAAACAUCCGUUUUUUCAGAAGGAGAACUGAGUGAGGGCGACACAGAUUCAGAGAAAAACUCUGAUUUGCUCUCCGACAGCUUUGAAAGUCUUGCUGGAGAUGAAACUAGCUGCACCGAACAAGAAGAAGAGAGUCACGCUGAAUACUCGACGUCUGUGAGCCCUGUGGCUGAAACGUUCGUUUCAGAGCAGAAAUUAGAUGAAGGUAAUUCUUCUCCUAGCUGGUCGCCCAGCUCUUGUCACUCUGAUGGUGAGGAUGAAACACAGGAUAUUUUAAAUGAUGAUGAAGAGGAAACAUCUUUGGUUACGGGGGACAGAUUUAAUCACAAGCCUGAUGAUUCUGAUGCAGGUGAGACAAUUAGCUCCGUUUUAGAGGUCGAUGUGGAUUUAUCACCUGAAGACACAAGUGGCCUUACAAAUGAGGAGGCUGAGCUAAAGAGACUAGAUGAAAUGGAAGCCAAACUUUUGUUGGAGCUUGGUCUAGAAGAUCUGUUAUGUGACAACGUGGCUCCUCUUAGCUUGUUCUCCAACCCAGAUAAGGAAGCGAGUGAGAAAGACGAUGGAAGAUCUUUAAACUCAGAUGAGGAACUGAGUGAGGAUGACGAUGGAAGAUCUUUAAACUCAGAUGAGGAACUGAGUGACGAUGAAAUAUCUUUAAGCUCAGGUGAUGAGGUUGAUGUGGACAUAUCAUGGUCAGAUAUUGAAGAAGGAUUAGCGAAUGGGUUAGAAUUAGAUGCAAAUGCAGUUCAAAGGUUGUGGGAUUUUGCAAAGAAAGGUAAAACAUCUCAGAGAAGAGAAGAAAGCAACGUUGAAAAAGUAAGUUCAGGUGAGGAUGAUGAUGGAAGAUCUUUAAACUCAGACGAGGAACUGAGUGAGAAUGACGAUGGAAUAUCUUUAAGCUCAGGUGAUGAGGUUGAUGUGGACAUAUCAUGGUCAGAUAUUGAAGAAGGAUUAGCAGAUGGGUUAGAAUUAGAUGCAAAUGCAGUUCAAAGGUUGCGGAAUUUUGUAAAGAAAGGUAAAACAUCUCAGAGAAGAGAAGAAAGCAACGUUGAAAAAGUAAGUUCAGGUGAGGAUGAUGGAAAAUCUUCAUAUGAGAAGACACGUGUGGACGAAGCUUUUCCAAGCAUGUCCUCCAGGAUCUCGUACGAGCCAACCCCGCAUCGUCAGAGGAAAAAUAAUGGAUGUAAGGUUGAAGAAAAAUCAUCAGUUACUACAGGAAAGAGUUCAGGAGUAAAUAAAAGUGGAACCUCUAUCACAGGAGCCAAAGCUCGGAGGUCCCUGGUUUCUGGCAGCGAUACUGAACCAGCGCCCUCACAGGUAAGCGAGACUAAAGCGUCAGUUACAUCAGGAAAAUACCUGAAGGGACUGAAGAAGAGGUGGGGUAUGUUUAAGAAGAAAAUUAAGUUUUUUUUGUUUAGGAAGUCAAGAAAAUGA
rnacentral:lncRNA from 1 species